GAUUAACGCUAGCGGCGUGCAUAACACAUGCAAGUCGAACGAUGAAACUUAACUGAUUUCUUCGGAAUGAUUUUAAGUGGAUUAGUGGCGGACGGGUGAGUAACGCGUGAGUAACCUGCCUUGGAGAAGGGGAUAGCCUUUGGAAACGAAGAAUAAUACCCUAUGAUAUGAUAAUAUCUCAUGAUAUUAUCAUCAAAGAUUUAUCGCUCUAAGAUGGACUUGCGUCUGAUUAGUUAGUUGGUGAGGUAACAGCUCACCAAGGCAGCGAUCAGUAGCCGGCUUGAGAGAGUGUACGGCCACAUUGGGACUGAGACACGGCCCAGACUCCUACGGGAGGCAGCAGUGGGGAAUUUUGCACAAUGGGGGAAACCCUGAUGCAGCGACGCCGCGUGAUUUAGAAGGCCUUCGGGUUGUAAAAAUCUUUUGUAUGGGAAGAAAAUGACAGUACCAUACGAAUAAGGACCGGCUAAUUACGUG
rnacentral:rRNA from 1 species